CAUUCAUAGUUCAAUGUCAUUAAGUCAUUUUAUAGUUUAAUUUUUUCUGAUCAUCUUCUCUCAUUGGCCUAAGUAUUUGAGGUACAUUCUUUUAUUUUAUAGAAUUAAGUCUUUUUUUGUUGGAUUUUUUUUUAAAUUUAUAUGAUACGUUAAUAUAAUUUUCCAACUAGUACAUAAAAUAUGAUGUACCUAUUUUGGUGGAUUAUGAGGGUCACAAUCCCCAGGUAUCUGCCACUAGGACUACAGCGGUUCUAGGAAUUCAUAAAAUGCGACGAGUAGUAAUCAGUAGUAUUCUAAACAAUCAUUACAAAAAAAUCCUUGACUCAUUGCAAUCCGCGAUCAGCUGUUUUAAUGUUGGCAGCUACCUCAGUACCCACUUACUAACAUAUCGCAACAUAAUGUCAACUGCCAAUGAAUGUAUUUGUUUUACUACGCAGUAGAAGUUAUAAUUUUAUUUUAAAAUCGCUCAUUAUAUGUGUUUUAAAUAUGUUCAAAAGUUUUUAGACAAUUUGAUUAAAACAUAUUGCAACUAGAUUUCAUAUUGAAAAUGAAUGCACCAUUAAAAUACGCUUUGAUUACUGGUGAUGUAUUGGAAACCACCAUAGGCGUAACAGGGUUGACAAUUGCAGCUGCCGCUACAGGAUGGGGCAUUCCGUCAAUGGCAGCCACAGGUGCAGUUAUUAGUGCUUACAAAGUACUGAAACUCUUAUUAAGAAUUCGCAGGAGAUUAGUAUGAUAAGCUUUUCAUAAAUUAUUGGAGUAAAAUAUUCAAUUUAACCGUAUUUAUUUAAAAACAACUAAUACUUGUAUAUAACUAAAUGAUUUGCGUGAGUAAUAUUUCGUAAAGUAUGUGUAUAAUUGAAAAACAAAUGUUUGUUAAUUUAAGUAAUGAUCUUUUAUACUGAAUUAAUUUUGUAAAUAUCGUUACUGCUUAUAUUAAAGAUCUUAAAUUGAAGAAUUAA